rnacentral:misc_RNA from 1 species
CAGAGUUAUGCCCUUUAUAGGGUAGACCUCCAACCCUAUGUGUAUUUACUUUUGUUGCUUUGGCGAGUCGUAAAGCUUAGGCUUUCCAUUGGCUUUGGCUAAUGUGUUACCCGUCAGAGGAAACUAAAACUCUGAAUUAUUAGUGUUGUCUGAGUACUUUUAAAAUAAUUA